GCUAAAAUGGCGGUUAUGGCCAGUAUAGCAGCAGAAUUAAACCAGCUAGCAAACAUUUCGGAUGAUGAUGACGACUUCAUUUUGCUACGAGUUGAAUCUAUCUUGGAUACACUUGGACAUUUUGCAGCCGUCACAAACUCCGAUGUCGAUCCUCGAGUUAUAAAUAAUCUUAGUGAGGUUGUGCAGUGCCUUCAGACAUCAGAUUUUCCGGGGAGUCUCGUCGGCCCGGGCCGUCCAAGGUAUGACAUCCCAUUAGAGACGCUAAGGAUGCAUCUUCUAAAUGGUUUUACUGCUCAAGAGCUCGCGAACUUAUUCGGAGCGAGCGAGAGAACCAUCAGACGGAGGAUGAAACCGCAUCAUUUGAGGGUUUCUGAUCUGUAUUCAACUAUAAGUGAUGCAGAACUUGACAGCACCAUUGAGGAAAUACAGAGAAUGUAUCCAAACUCAGGGUACAGAAUAAUUCAUGGUCAUCUUCAAGCAAGAGGUCUCCAUGUUCAAACUUGUUUAUUCUGUAGAUGGAGAUUGGUGAUUCAUGGUGGAAUCGAUGGUUUCAGCCGACUAAUAGUUUAUCUUUCCGUGUCUCCAAAUAACAGUGCAUCCACUGUGCUCAGCAACUUCAUAUCUGCUGUUAAUCAGUAUGGUAUCCCAUCAAGAGUCUGAUAUGACAAAGGUGGGGAGAAUAUAGCAGUUGCUGAGUACAUGGUGGCACACAGAGGAGAAAACAGGAAUUCUCAUGUUACAGGAAGGAGUGAACACAACCAGAGAAUAGAGAGGCUUUGGAGAGAUGUGUAUGAACAUGUUUUAAGCAUGUUCUAUCACAUCUUCUACAACAUGGAGACAGAGGGAGUACUUAAUCCAGAUUCUGAGAUUGACAUUUUUGCUCUUCACUGGAGUUUUUUGCCUUCUUUAAAGAUGCCUGGAACAACCACUGCAUCAGAACUGCUGGGAACCUGUCACCUGUCCAGCUUUGGUUAAGACACAGUGCCAACAAUACUGAUGACACCAUUCAAGUGGAUGAAAAUUAUGGGAUCGACUGGGAUGGACCCCCAAGUCACGAUAACGAUGGAGUACAAAUUCCUGAAGUAGCUCUACCUCGACAACUAACUGAAGAGGAAUUGGGUAGUCUGCCGAAUCCCAAUGUGCCGUUUUCAGAUGCCAUUGACACAUACUACAACACAAUCACUAAAAUUCACCAAUUAUUGGACAUUUUGUAAAUUACCGUAUUUUAUAGCAUUCAAGAUGUUGGUAUAAACUCUCCAGCCAGUUUAUUGUACAUGGAUUCAAUAAACCUAACAAAA